rnacentral:rRNA from 1 species
GAUGAACGCUGGCGGCGUGCCUAAUACAUGCAAGUCGAGCGAACAGACGAGGAGCUUGCUCCUCUGACGUUAGCGGCGGACGGGUGAGUAACACGUGGAUAACCUACCUAUAAGACUGGGAUAACUUCGGGAAACCGGAGCUAAUACCGGAUAAUAUAUUGAACCGCAUGGUUCAAUAGUGAAAGACGGUUUUGCUGUCACUUAUAGAUGGAUCCGCGCCGCAUUAGCUAGUUGGUAAGGUAACGGCUUACCAAGGCAACGAUGCGUAGCCGACCUGAGAGGGUGAUCCGCCACACUGGAACUUGGACACCGUCCCGACUCCUACGGGAGGCCGCAGUAGGGAAUCUUCCGGAAUGGGCGGAAGCCUGGCGGAGCAACGCCGCGUGAGUGAUGAAGGUCUUCGGAUCGUAAAACUCUGUUAUUAGGGAAGAACAAAUGUGUAAGUAACUAUGCACGUCUUGACGGUACCUAAUCAGAAAGCCACGGCUAACUACGUG